AGCCCGACGUAGGCGGUGCUUCGGCCCCCGCCCCGCCCCCCGGCCGCGUGCGCCGCCCCGGAAGCCCGGGCUGCACCGGCGCCGCGCGCGGGGUUCCCCCCUGCCCCUCUGGCUGGGAGGGCAGGGUGGUGUCAGGUCGCCCGCCGCUCUUGGGCCUCCUCGGCUCCCUUCCUCCUUCCUUGCGGUCUUCAUGCACAGCUGCCUCGGUCCCCCGCUUCUGGAAUUCACAGCCCAGAUGUGGAUAGGCUUUACCCCACUCAUCCUUACAAUGUGGGUCAUGAGCCCAGAGCCUUAAGCUACGUGUUAGGAGGGCCCCAGGAUGUAGGAUUCAGCAUUGCUCUUUUUGACCUUAGGCCCUACUGCGGCCUCGCCUGGACGUUUUGUCACCUGGCCCUGGUGCCUCCAGACAGAACCAGGACGCAUAGAUCAUCUUCUCAGGUAAUAUGAUCCUGACCAGAGGGAGAUGGGUUGGGGCAUCUAUUCUAGUCCCCACCUGCCAGAAUAGGUGUCAGGUGGCUCCUCACCACUCUACAUCAUUAGUGUGUACAAUGGACACAGCAUUAUCUGAACUUCCAUGGCUCUAUGUAAAGCAUUCCAUUGUAUUUUAAUAAUUACGCAAGACAAGGCCUCUUUCACAUAAGGCAAAUAAGUGUGAUUGAUUCAGACUUCUGGCAUUACUGGGCCAUGCUGCCGCAAGAAACAGGUGCAUGUGGAAUCAAGCCUGACGGAGUUAUUGGUGUGCAGAAAAAAAAAAAGGAUUACUACUUAUCUGGUUUUUAAAGAUGAGAGUGUUUUAUCUGAUGCCCUGACCAAAUGAAACAACAACCUAGACUGAAGCAGGGAACAUUCGCUGGACAUUUCAGGCACUGUGCUAGGCUCUACAGUGAAGCAUUCACAGUCUAGUGGUGUCUAUAAAUAAAACCAAAAUGCUAACUUUUAAAUUCCUAUGAGGAAUAUAAUUGUAAUGCCACUAUAGCUGCAUCACUACCAUGGGGUCAUUCUCUCCCUACAGACAGAUCAAUAAACAAAAUCAAAUUACAAUCCAAAGGAAGCAAGGUGGGCAGAAAUAACGUAGGGAUUCAUGAUGAAUAAAGUCAUUAAUCCUUCCAUUUAUUCAUUCAACAAAUAUUUAUUGUCUAGUGCUAUUGUGUUUUUAUUUUUAACUGAAAUUACACUUAAAAUUUAGAAUUAUGAAAUGCAUUUAUUUAAAGAUUUAUAAGAGGCCUAUCCACAAAACCAUACUUACCAAAACCCUAUAAAAAUGUUUUCUAUUCCUUUUGGAAAUAAAGGUCAGUGGUGGUGAAGGUAUAUAUUCAAAUGAAAGAAAGUAUAAAUCAAUACAACAUUGAUGCAUACUCUGUGGAGGCAGCCACAAAAUCCUCAUCAGCUUGUUUAUAUCAGACAGAUUUGGCCAUCUUCCUGCCCUUUCAUUAUAGAAAAGUGAGUUGGGCCAUAGCUAUUGGCUGCUGUGAGGCCCACAUUAUGCACCCAUUGUAGAUGUAUUUAAUGACUUCUGCGCUCUAGGAUUUUUUCCUACCUCCACAGGUAAGUUGAAAGUACAUAUUUGUUCACAGACUCAUAUGAGCCUUCAAUAAAAAGUAAUUGAUAAUCAUAAUAUGGUGCUGAGCAAGACUUAGAGGCAGCACCUUGCGUAUGUGUAUUGUCAUAUAUAAGUUAAAAAGGAAAGAAAAGAGAAGCUUUGUUCCAAUAAGGAUUUAUUUCCACUAAUGUAACUGUCAGUAAUUUGCUGAGCAUUUAAAAGACUGAACAGCAGAAUUGAUUUACUGUUUUUGCAACUGCUGCUUAAAAAAGUAUGUUUAUCCUUACAUCAUAAGUCAGCAACUCAUUU
rnacentral:lncRNA from 10 species